AACGAACGCUGGCGGCAUGCCUAACACAUGCAAGUCGAACGAGACCUUCGGGUCUAGUGGCGCACGGGUGCGUAACGCGUGGGAACCUGCCCUUAGGUUCGGAAUAACUCCCCGAAAGGGGUGCUAAUACCGGAUAAUGUCUUCGGACCAAAGAUUUAUCGCCUUUGGAUGGGCCCGCGUUGGAUUAGCUAGUUGGUAGGGUAAAAGCCUACCAAGGCGACGAUCCAUAGCUGGUCUGAGAGGAUGCUCAGCCACACUGGGACUGAGACACGGCCCAGACUCCUACGAGAGGCAGCAGUGGGGAAGAAUGGGCAAUAGGCGUAAGGCUGAUCCAGCUAGGCCGCGUGAGUGAUGAAGGCGUUAGGGUUGUAAAGCUCUUUUACCCGGGAUGAUAAUGACAGUACCGGGAGAAUAAGCUCCGGCUAACUCCGU
rnacentral:rRNA from 1 species